UCCCUGGUGGCUCAGACGGUAAAGCAUCUGUCUACAAUGCAGGAGACCCAGGUUUGAUCCCUGGGUCGGGAA
rnacentral:tRNA from 1 species